UGACCCCUCCCCUAGGGCUCCUUAUCCCCCUGAACAGCACCACUGUUCACCCAGUGUCCCCGACCUGAAUUAGCGCAUAGCCCAGUUUCUUCAUGGGAGGGGUGUGAGGGGACAGCAGUGCCCUCAGCCUGGGACUGAGGCUAGAAGGAGAGAACGCUCUAAUUUCAGCUGCUUGUCAAUCUGUGGGAGGAGCAGGAUGAGAUCUCCUCAUAAAUGUGGGUCGUGAAUGAAAUGUGUCUACCUUGGUGCUUGCCAAACUGGGGGCCUGGAGGGGACGGAGGGACAGAGCAACAGACCCAGGGCUGCAGGUGGGGGACAGGUUCUACGAUCUGAGCUCUCUCGGGGCCGGAGGGGACCGCAAUCUUGGAAUUCAAAUGUGCUUGUCAACACACACACGCACGCACGCACACACAGCAAUUUCGUGCCUCCCCGCCAACCCCCACCGCUUGUUUUCUUGUUUCCCUGUCUCCUCGGCUCACAGCGCCCUUCCCCCUCCCCUCCCACACCCACCCCCAACCACAAUUCCUGCUCGUGCUUAAUUCGCAAACCACGCGUCUCCUCCUCCGGGAAGCUUUCCCGGACGCCCCCGCCGCGCUGUCUGCCGCGCUCUGCGCGCGGAGGUGCGUCUCACGCUGUUUGUUUACGCGCCUGUCCGCGUCUCCGCGCCAGACCGCCGCUCUCCGGGAGCAGGAGCCGGGCGGGCGCCGCCAGGACGGCGCGCGGGCGAGGCACCGCCAUGGGGAGCCCCGGAGCGCGGCGCGGUCCGCCGGGGUACACCUCCAGGAGCGCGCGGGGCCCAGCAUCGCCGGACCCACCGCGAGGCUGCAGGACGCACCCCGGGGGACUCCCAACCUCCAGGCUCCACCUAAGAAAAAGGAGUUCCUCUUCUCUGAACCCUCAACAGGCCCCACCUGGGAUGACCAAGAGCCAUGGUGUGCCCAGGACCCUCCUGGUUUACACCUGCUGUGCCCUGGCGUUCGCUGUGGGCGUCCUACGCUUCUCCAGAAAAAGUCCUUUGCCGUUAGCUCUCGACUCCCUUGUCCCUGACAUCAUGCCAGUGAGGAUUAGUGGGUAAUGUUUCCUCGCUUUCCCUUAGAGGGUGUGGACAGGAGUGAGCAGAAGCAUCCUUUCUCUGAUACGGGAGAAAAUGAACUUAGUGUGGGAGAUAAAGGUGGCCAUCCCAAGGAUUACUUAGUAUGACUUAGGUAAGUGCCGUAGGCUUCACUGGCCUACGGCCACAGACAAGUAACAUAGCAGGAUCAGAAUAAUACAGCAAGGUGAUCUGUCUAGGCAGCGGUUUGAACCCCACUGAACAGUAGGCUCCACCCACUGAGGCAAAGGCAGCUGGGGGCAGGGACUGGAGUCAGGAUCCCCUUUGUCCUGGGCUACUUCAGGACUGCCUGGGAGCAUGCUCAUCUGCCCUUUUUCUCCGUGACCCCGAAUGGUUUAAAUAACACAGAUUUGAAGGAAUUUACCCUAACCCAAUCCAACUCUGGCCGUUUAAGAAGGGAGUGAUUUUUUAAAACAACUUUUUGGCAUUUCUUCCACUGCUGAUAGUAUAUUCAUUUCCUACUCCAGUUAAUGUUGGUAAUUUAUCUCUUAAUUUCAUCAGGUAUAGAGCUGUACAUCAUAUUCUCAUAAUGUUUCAACGUCAGAAUCUUUCAUGCACGUGUUUUCCUUUGUAAAAGUAUUUGCGAUCUUAAUUUUUCAGUAACUUAGGCUCAUGAGAGGGUUUGCCAGUUUUGUUGUUCUCUUAAAAUGGUUCUUGAGUUGACUCAUCAUUGCCGUGGAUUUUUGUUCUCUCAUUAAUUCCUUUUUUAUAUAUUGUUUCCUUCUGUUUUGCUCAGGACGUUACGGUUAUUAACAAGAGAAACUGGUCCUGAUUAGUGUAAGCUGGAAAGGAAUGUAUUGGAGAAGGAUAUCAGGUGGCCCAGAGAUUUAGAGGGGCCUAGGGGACCGGAUCGGGGAAUGAGCAGGAAUGAGGAAUCUGGGUGGUCAGAUCCCCGGCAAGCCCAGUGGGGGCGUUUGUUGGGAGGUGCUGGCUCGGCCACUGAAUGCUGGCUGUGGCUACCAGAAGGAAGGCUAAGCUCCUCCCUGCUUCUUUCGGGCGCUCACUGGAGACUCAGAGUUCCAGGGGGCAGCAUCUGAUUGGCUAAGUCUCGAUGCUAUACAUACCCGGCUCUAGAUGUCCACAACGUACACCAUGGUGGAACUCCCUAAUAUAGGAAGCAGCUUCACAGGCUAGGCAGCCGAAACAACGAUCUAAAAACCAACAAUAACACAAAUGCGCACUAACCUUUCUUUGGGGACCUGUCACCUCUUCAGUUGACCAUGUGGUUUACUCGUUUUUAUUC